CGCUGCCCUGCCGCCAGCGUCCCUUCAGUCGCCGCGUCCUCCUCCGGUGACACCGGGACGGCACCGGGGGCCUUGUCAGUGUGGCUCCUCCGAGUCCUGCCGGCACGUCUGUGGUGCUUCCAGGACGGGCUGAGGGGCAGCGGUGCCUGUACCGGUGCCGCUCGGGCUCCCUCCCGCCAGCCCCGGGCUGUGCGCCCUCUGUGGAGAUGGAGAUGGGGAAGGACGAAAAUGGAACCUUCAGAUACUACAGGUUCCACCCAUCCCCAACGUCUGCCCGGUGCCGCAGCUGCUCCUCACACUCGCCCAACUACUUUAUCUUGGUGCCCUCAUGGCGUCCAGGACCCCAAAUCCAGUCGAUUUGCCCAACACCAUUGAACUGAAAAUCAUCCCCAGCAGCCAACUGCCUUCCUGAGCCACCACAACACCGCACCAGGUAGGGAGCCAGCUUGGCAGCACGAUGGCAGCGGCUGCCCCAGUAGCCGUGCCCAACAGGGAAGCGCUGGGGGUUCUGUGGUGCUGGUGGAGCCACCUGCAUCUGCGGUUCCUCUCGGCAGCGAGCAGCGGAUCCCGGGCCAUCAUACAGCCACUAAUUCAGAGUGUCCCCUGCGCAGCUCUCUCCUCCCCACAUGUACGUCGUGCAUCUCUCUCUCAUGCAUCUUGCCACGUUGCCCCGUCUCAGGGUCUGACCGCCAUCCUGGGCACCAUGAACUCAGCCCUGCUAUUUCCUCUGCCACAGGUGUCACCAAACCAUCCCACUGGGACAGGCUGAAACCCUUUUGCCUACUCCUCGGUGUCCCCAGCUGCUUGCCGGGGUGGGAGCAGAAAUUUGGCUCCCUCAUUGUGACACUCCCCACCAGGACGGGGUGAAACCGGCGCAGGGGACAGAGAGGCAGAGACGCCGUUGGGUGUCAGGGGCUGUGUUUAUCCAUCGCAGAUGUUGUCCAGUGGCACUGGGUGUCCCCGUCAGGUGUCCAGCAGGUCCCGCACCGCUGGGGUGGCCACGUCGCGGGGACACCGGCCCUUGGUGUCGCGGAUGCCAGCCAGCGCCGGGCUGUGCUGCAGGAGCAGGGCACAGAGCUCCCCGUGGCCUUGCUCAGCGGCCUGUGGGUGACGCAUCUGUCAUCGCCAGGGUGUGCAAAUGCUGGCGCAAGGCCCGGGGGGGACAUCCCGGCUGUGCCACCCACCUUGUGCAGGCUGGUGCGGCCGUCCCCGUCGGUGGCCAGCGGGUCAGCGCCGUGGGCUAGCAACAGCUGGGCGAUGGGCAGGUGGCCACAGUAGCUGGCGCGGUGCAGGGGGGUGGCACCACCUGGCGUGCGGGCAUCACAGCGGGCGCCGCGCUGCAGCAGCAGCCGGCAGACGCCCAGGUGGCCAUUGCGGCUGGCAUAGUGCUGGGGGGUGACAAGGGGACACGGGUGUUGGGGGGGGACGACACACAGGCACGGGGUCUGUCUGUCUGUCCCCUCUCCGUGCGCGUGUACCAGUGCUGUGUACCCAGCCAGGUCGGGCUGGCUGGGCUCUCCCCGCCGCUCCAGCAGCUCCAGCACCCGGGGUUCGUCCCCGUCCCGCGCCGCCGCCCAGAUCCCUACGGGCACCGGGAACGGGGAGGGAGGGUGGUGGUCAGGCAGGACCGGACCCGCAGCCCUGCCCGUACCCCGGCCCUUGGCGUCCCCCCAGCCCCCCAGCCCUGCUCCCGGGUUCCUCCCGACCCCGCUCGAAGUCCAUCUCGGGCAGGCUCUGGUGGACGCUGGGCACCGCCAACCGCGACGGGCAGCAGGGACCGGGCGGAGAACGGCGACCGGCCGCCAUCGCCCCAACCAGGAAUGGACGAAGGGAGCCGGAAAGGGCCGAAA